UAUCUUUUAAGGAAUUAAAAGGAAAAAGAAAAAUAAAGAACAGAAGUUGUCUUCAUUCUUCAUCUUGGCCGUAUGGGUUUUUGGAGAAAGAACACUCCCAUCUGUUUUGCUAUUUCUUUUUCUUCCAUUAUUCCACCAAAUUCUCACCUCUCUACACAAAUUCACCCACAAAAGCUUCUUUUACCAAGAUUGUUUACAUGAUUUGGUGGCUAUUUUGAAGAGAAAGAAGUUGAGAAAAGAAAAGAGAGCAAAGGAAAAGAGAAGUUGGAAGCUUAAAGAAAGAAGCGGAGAAAAGGAAUUGAAGCUAGUGUAGCUUAAUUUUGCUUAACGCCUUAGGAGCGGUGAAGAUAAUAUUACUGUAUUUGCGCAAGUCGGAGUCACAUACAUCGGCACAGGUGGAUAUUCAAGUCACUCUUAUUUUUAUCUUGUAUAUAUAUUUUGGGCGUUUUGGCAUGUAUACAAGUUUUAGUUAGUUAAAUGAAUGUAUCACGUUAUGAACUUAAUGUAUAAUAUUAGUUGAUAAAAUCAUGAGAAUAUCUUAGAAGCUUUAUAACUAAAAUUGGUAUUAUUAGACUUCGAUAUGAUAUGGAAUAUUUUGGUAUUUCAUAUGGUAAUUGAGUUGUGAAAUUGAGAUGCCAAGAACAUUGAGGAGUAUUUGUGUAUACGUGAUAAAUAUAAGGGUAUGUUUGGUUGGCCCUAAUAGAAUAGGGCUGUAAUGGAAUAGAGUUGUAAUCAGUAAUUCAAUUGUUUGGUUGAAUGGAAUGGAAUAGAGCUGUAAUAGAAUUCUUGUGUUUGGUUGAA